CAGGAGACAUAAGCUCAACCGCUUCAUAAGCCAUUUCAGGAUCAGUCAAAAUUUUAUCCAGCUGAUUCACUGCUGCUUCUUGCUUCAUUUCAAAUAUACUAUCGCUGAUUCCCAAGGUAGAAAGAAGAGUAAUUAACUGUCGAUUUAGAAAGCACGGCUGGUACUUGGUGUAUGCGAGGACAUCCAGUUUCGUAUUUGCGGACUCGUACUUAGACAUACUUCUUCGCAGAGAAAGCUUCUUAGAAGAAGUUGGAUCGACGGCCACAACACCUUUAUAGCCUCCAUACCUUAUUUGGAAGGCCGAAGGAAUUGAACGCUUCAAGCCACAUUUUGCAGCAACUCUUCGUGCAAAAUCAGCAGAAAUCUUUCCAAUUCCAUCAGAGAAGCAAUAACUUGUCCCGUUAUACACAUCAUCAAUGAUAUCUACUUCAUGCCUGCCAACACUUAAAGUUUCCGUGGAGGAACUGAAAGAUUGGCCAAGCCUAGCAGCAUACUUAGCCACAUUUCUGAUACUUCGGAAGUCACCCAUCCACUUUCUAAUGUCACUUGCAGUCACCUCAAUUCCUGAAGCAAACAUCCACGCCGAAUUGUCCCGCAACUGGCUUGACGAGAAGGCGAGAAAUUCGAACUUCUUAUUGCCAAUGGCAAUACCAUUUCUCAGGACUGACAAUAUUCUUUUAUAAAGUGCUGUAUGUCUUGCAUCAUUUGAAGAAACAGACCAUGGCGACAAAUCGGUUGAGUACAUUUUCUCCCAAUCCUCAUCAACAAAAGAAACCCGGAGAAAAUUAUUCAUUUCAUCCGAAAAAUACCGUAGCACACGAUUGGAGACGUUAACUUCUGGCCCGCAAAAGUACACUUUAGAAGGGGUAACUUGAACCCUAUGGACAUAAACUAACCCAUCAUCCAAAUAAAUUCUAGGCGAUUUUGGAGGGCAGUCUGAUUGUUCAUACUUUAGAUACUGCUUAGACAGCCAGUUAGCCGGAUCCAAGCAGGUCUUUUUGAAACAUGACAUCUUUUCUAUGGCGUGCACUAUAUAAUCAACAGGCACAAGAUAAGGGCAGACCAAUCUAAAGAACUCGUCAUCAAGUGUCGGACCACUGAUGAUCCCGUUCUGGACCAUUUGAUUGAUCUUGAAGAGUAUUUUAUAGGGCACAUGAAUCCAUGGGUGAGGUUCCACGAUGGGGACUAGCUCCAUAUUGCAAGAGUAGGAAUAUCCUCCGUUCAGUUCAUAAUGGCCGUUAAAUUCUUCAUAAAAGACAAAGUAUUCAUGGAUAUUUGGAAGUUCAUAGUCGUAGGGCAGCUGCAAACAUAUUACAGAUGACUGUCCCAUGCUGCAUGAGGGCGAAAAAUCCGUUGAUCUAAUCCACUGAUCAUCUGGAGUUUCCUUAAAAUAAUUUAGAAGAGGAUCUUCGUGUACGAGACCGGAACUACGAAGGGCCAAUUCAUAAAUCUUAGGUGCAGCUGCCAUCUGAAGUUUCAAAAACCAGAACUGAAAAUCAGUUUCUGUCAAGCAAGGAUAAAAGAAAAAGAAAAAAAAAAAGGGCUCUCUGAUUGCUGUAAAAAGUUUCAGUAAUGUGCAAGAUUCGAAUCACAAUUUCAAAGAAGAUUGAUACCAUUAUAUUUUAACUGGUACUUGGCCCAUUUAUAGAAAAUAGAGAAAAACACACAUCAUACAAGUAAAGUUCUGUUAGCAGAAUAGGUUAAAAUCUAUAUUAAGGUCUUCCCCUCCAGCAAAUGCAAAAUGUUCAGGCAAGCGGUUCAAAAUCUACUAUUCUGUUGACUGACUUAGUAAGUAGACAAAUGGGAUGAUGUAUCAGCAUAUGAAGGAUGAUCUAUAAUUGUUAUAAAUUGAAUGAAACAAAAAAAAAGAAGAAGAGGAAUUAAUUGUCAUAUUUUGGCACUAAAGUGUUAAAGAAAAAAGUAUGACUUCAACACAGAAAAUACUUGAGAGAGACGGACCUGAAACAAAAGGAAUUGUGAACCUUGAUCAGACGAGCGGUGUAGCUGGAUCUCCCAUAUGCUUUCAUAAGAAAGUUCGAGCUUGUAUUUGAAACUUCCCUGGGAGACAAAAAAGUAUAUCUUCCUCAAAUUAAAACCAAAGUUAACGCGAACGUCGGAAGCACUCCAGAGAACACAAAAGCUUCUUUUCAAGACCGGGCAGCCAAAAUGAAGGGUUGCAUGUUCUACAACAAACAAAGAAGCUCUAGGCUUCGGAACAAUGUCGCGUUUCAUAUAUCGAACCUUAAGAUAAUAUCCCUGACACAUCAAGAGGCUAUUGUCAGCCAAGUAAAUUAUUCGUUUGGCUUGCCCUUCUGUUAAGAACUGAACCACAGCAUAAGAUCUCGACUUUUGAGUGGUUACUGCCGGUUGUCUAAGCUUGAGCGCAUAGACGGAUCCAUCGCCUAUAAAUCCUUCCAAAAUGUCCUUCGCAUAAUCAACGCUAGCAUGUAGCGGGAAACCAUGAAUAUUAACCGUCUUGCCUCCCAUCACUUCAGUUGCUGAAGGACCAGAUAAAAACUCAGUUAGCAUUUCUUAAUUCGAUGAUCAGCUAACAAAACAAGAAUGACUCGACAGAUUCGUACUACAAUCUUCGUGAAAAAGAAGCAGAGAUUUGGCAAACACAAUUAGCAGCAUGUUGAAUCUGGAAUUCUCCUUUAAAAAAAAAUUUAUGGAGAGAAAAGCUUUCUUUUAGCAUCAAAUACAUGAUGUUUAUUCCAAAACUUUUCUCCAAACAGAGAGUAAACAAGCUAAGAAUGAUUACUAUACAUUUUUACAGAAAACUUCAAGAACAGAAACACCAGAAUUUUAGCAAAAAGAUAAAAUAACAAGGCAUUAACGUUGGAUUAAAGACCAAGCAUGCACAGUAAACCAAAUUAGUAUGAAAAAUAGCACCGAGAGCAACAAAAUUCCUCAAGAUUAUCUCUGGCCAUAAGAUUUCAAAGGAACAACAUUUUUGACAAUAAAUAUCAAAAAUUGUUUGACAAAGACAUUAUGUAACUAAUCUGAAUCAAGAAGAAACAAGAGAUUUCUCCAGUUAAAUCCUUAGUAGCACUCCCAAUUAUAAAGAAUCAACCCGAGAGCCCCGUUUCCUAUCAAGCAUCAUCAAACCCAAAUAGGGAAAGAAAAUUACCAUAAAUGGUAAAAAAAUCCACUAAUUUGCGAGCUCCACUGUAUGUUUUUUUUUUUUGGGAGAAAUAGAAAAUAAACUUAGCUGGAAAUAUGAAUCAACUAGGAUUCGAACUUGGGACCUCAGGUACCAACCACCAAGUCCUUUGCCACUUCCGAUAGGGACGGUCGGUGCGAGCUCCACUGUAAGAAAGAUCAAACAAAAUAUAUGAGAGAGAUAGUGGUUUCCCCCGAAGAGAAUAGAAACCCACACUAAAAAUCACGCCUUUAUGCUACAAUACAUAGAAACAAAGGAAGAAAACAAAGAAUUAUGAAAAUCCACCAGUAUAUAUAUAUAUAUAUAUAUAUAUAUAUAUAUAUAUAUAUAUAUAUAUAUAUAUAUAUAUAUAUAUAUAUAUAUAUAUAUGCUGUUACACUGUCGAUAGUAUAAAAUAUUUGAUGCUAUCAAGUUGUUAGAUGAAAGGAUGUGCGGUUAAUUAAGAUGUUAGUGAUCCCCUAGGCUUGAGUGAAUUGUUGAUUGAAUAGUAUAAUCUAACGAGUAAAAAUGAUCAAAGGAUAGAUCGGCAGAAAAUCCGAUAAUAGCAAGAGUUUGGUACAUAGCUCUAAAAUUUUUUAUUAGAGAUAUUGAUCUUGCAGUAAAUAGUACAAAAAAAUUUCUAUCAAAAUUUCAUCAAAUUUGAAUACUUCUACACCGUUAAACUUGCAAACGAUAUAUAUCCCCCAUUAAAACUUAUUGAUUUUGAAUUAUUUCGAUCGUUAGGUAAAUAAUAUCCAAAAAUCACAAAAUUUAUUUUCUAGAUACUUCAAAUAUGCUAAAUCAAGUCUAACGGAGCCAAUCUAAGUUCCAUCAUCGAAAACGGCUUAGAAGCACGGAGGCUUCCAUACUCCUAACAGCACACAAAUCCUACUCUCUCUCUCUCUCUCUCUAUAUAUAUAUAUAUAUAUAUAUUUUUCAGUCAACUGAUUUAAAUUAAUUCUGGAGUAAUUUUAUUUUCAGUCUAACUAUGUAUUAAAAUGGAGGGUAGAUUUGCAAGAAGCUAAAAUUUUAGAGGAUUAAAUCUUAUUACUAAAAUUUUUAGGAGUGGCAUUUAAAAAAGCCAAAGUAGUUCGUUUUCAUAAAAUUAAAAACUAUUUCUAGACUAAAAGAAAUUAACUCUAAAUAUAUAUUAGAAAGAAGUUUAAAAUUUAGAAUAAUAAGUUGUUCACUCAAUUUUGCAAGGAUAAAUAUACAAAGCGAUUAUUUUUGAAGAGUAUUUUAAAAGCACUGAGAAUAAAAAAAAAAUAAAUAAAAAGAAGUUUGAAAAGGAAACGUAUAGUGUUAUGAUAUUUAUAUGGUUAGAUUUUAAAAAUAGUCAAAGAAAUAAACAAAUCAAUUAGUUUUUAAGAGAUGGGUAAAUUAAUAAUUUUAUUAUAGAAGAUUUAUCAAGACUACAUAAGCUUAAUAAUCGUAUUAUGCAGGUCUUGGGUCAACUUGAAGUCCUCUUCAUCAUUAAGUUUUCUUUUUUUUUUUUUUUUUUAUUUCUGGUGGGCCCAGGAGAGGGGCAAGCCAGAAAAAUUUGCUUGCCUAACGAGCAAGGAUUCAAAUCUCACCGUAUAGUAGUCCACAAAAAAGAAACUGAUUAACAGUAAUAAUAAAUUACUAUUUUGUUUUAAAUAAAAUAAAAUGUUUGAAUUUUUACCUGAUAAUAACUUAUUCUUCAUAUAAGGUAAGAGUUUUACCUGAAUUUCUUGUUUAAUUAAAAGGUAAGACUUUAAUUUUUUACUUCAGGAAAGGUCUUAGCAUUCAUAAUAAUCUUAUUUUGAGAAAAACAACUUAAAAUAAGCUGAAUAUGCGAAGUCAUUUGAAAUUUUUGACCACAUGCAUAUAUAUAGCUACAAUCAUAAUAGAGAAUUUUCAUACCAAAUAAAAUAUUACUGUAUAACUCGGAACUAUGCUAGAAUACUAUUAAUAACACCAAGUCAUUGGUGUCAUUAAGUUUUCGGCCCUUGAUUAUAGCGAUGUAUGGUUAGGAUGACAGUGAUCUCCUAGAAUUGAGUGAGUGGUUGGUUGAUUGAAUAGUAUAAUUUAAUGAAUAAAAAUGAUCAAAAUAAUUGAUCAGAAAAUUUGAUCGCAUCUAGUGCUUGGUGCUAUCAAUAUUUAAUAGUACUGUCGCCGGAUUUAUACAACUUAUUAUAUCAUACAAACUUGGGGGUUAAUUUGCAUGGACAUAUCCAAAGAAAAAAAGACAGUGCAUAUGAUUAAACAAUAGAGUAGGUUCCUCUCUCUUCACAUUAAAAAGGAGAAAAAAACAAUGUUUGAGGAUAGGAAUCGCUUCUCUAAGUUCUCUAUUCCAUCACCAUGUAUGCAUCAAAGAUUCUUCGCUUCGCUGAUUGGAGGGGCUCAUCUUUUUCAGUUACGAAGGACACCAAAAGCCAAACCUUGCUCACCAAGUAAAGAGAUUUUAUUUGGCAAUUGACUUGACGAGGACCCACCGAGUCAAGGAGAAGAAGAUGCUUUCAGUUACGAAGGACAAGGGCGUGGUCGUUAAUGUGGACUCGACGAGUGCAAUACGCUUGCCACUGUACGGAACUCGAUAUUAUGCUGAGUCUCCACGAGGAUUUUAAUGGACUGUUAUCAUAUGUGAGAACAAAAAAAAAAAAAAAAAANAAAAAAAAAAAAGAUUCUUCGCUGCUCUCAUUGGAGGGGCUCAUCUUUUUCAGUUACAAAGGACACCGAAAGCCAAAUCUUGCUCACCAAGUAAAUAUAGCCAAAUCUUGCUCACCAAGUAAAUAUAUUUUAUUUGGUAAUUGACUUGAUGAGGACCCACAGAGUCAAGGAGAAGAAGAUGCUCUCAGUUGUACUAUUACUAGUAUUUUUUUCCCUGCCACUAAAUGGCUGCAACUGGAGUUGUGAGUUGAGUGUGGAUUUUGACACGCGAGCUGGGUCGGGUCGGGUCGGGUCGGCUAUGCUUGUUUUUAACAUGCAUUGAUUCGACAAGGGUAGCGAUUGUGCGGAACUCGAUUUUACGUGAGUCCUGCAGAGAUUCAGGUAAUAGGAGGAUUUUCAUGGAGUGUCACAUGAGAAAAUAGUAAAGAUAUUGAAUCAUGUUGAGUUCCACAGAUGAAAAAAAAUGAAUGACCAAGGGAUUCGGGAUGUAAUGUACAGAACAGCGAGUGCUCGCGAUGGAAUAGCACAUUUUCACAUGAGUGUCGGAUCAUCGAAUAUGUACAUACAACAAACAAACCACGAUCAAACACCAAAGCUUGAAUCAUUUCAUGCUCAAAAAUAGCAUGACCCCCUCUUAGUUUUGAAGUUCACUAGUUGGGUCGCGUGAAAACCAUUUGGUGGAGCCUAUUAGCCAAGCCUCUCCAUUUUGGGAAACUAUCGAUAAACUGGCUAUUAUUUUCUCUAUCUCUACUUUCUUUAAGAUUGGAGAUGGCACAUUGGCCCCCUUUUUUUUUGAGAAAUAGGUAGCAAGCUACCUGCUUCAUUCAUUAAGGAAAAUGAACUAGGCGUACAAGAUGGAGGCAGCUGAGGCCUCCUUAAGAGCCGAAGGCAACCAAAAAGUCACUAAAAAAGUCCAUUGUACAGAACAAACCAAGGAAAAAAAGGCACAUUGGCCCCCUUUUGGAAUUACAUUUGGUUGGGCAAGACCUCUCUCAAUUGUAGAUUCCCUAACCUCUUUUCUUUUGCAAUUGACCCGAAUGCACGCAUUGGCGCAAACUAUGCUGAGCGUUCAUAGUACAUCUCAACCAGGGGUGACCGAUCCAGAGAAGGAGAAGAAGAGCUCUAGGACUUAUAUGAUGAACUACACUCCAUCUCAUUUUCGCUUGAAUCAGAUAAAAUCAUGCGGCGAUGGGCCUCAAGGGGGUGCUUCUCUAUUUCAUCAGCUCACGGUUUUCUAAUCAACAGGGGUGUUAGGUAUGGUCAUCGUAUUGUGAUCUGGAAGCAAGCCAUUCCUCUGAAUAUCAAGAUUUUCACUUGGCUCGCCAUUCAUAAUAAAAUACUUACUGUCGAUAAUUUGGCCCAAAGAAGUUGGCUAAACUCCGGAAAAUGUGUUCUUUGUGGAAUUUCCGAUGAAACCCGUAAUCAUCUUUUAAUCUACUGUCCCUUUACAGUAGAUGUUCUGGCCCUCCGCCUUCGUAGGACAAACCUCACCCACGCAGGUUCACUACAUCUAACUGAUUGGUGGCGCACCGUCAGAUAUUCUUUCUUGAAGGAACUGCAGCCUGGCUGUGACUAUCUCAUCAUGGCUUUCUUUUGGUGCAUUUGGUUGGAGCGAAAUCGCAGGAUUUUUCAAUAUGCCUCAAAGAUUACAAGAUCAAUUGCAAUCGGAAUCAAAUCUCCAUUGGUAUCUUCCUCAGCUACUUCUCUAUCUAAAUUCUAGCUCGAGUUAUUUCAUCGAGACCUAUUUUUUGACUUUGAAAUGAAUUACCAGAGAACUACAUAUGUAAACCUUGGAAAUGUACAUAAUUUCAUGUAGUAGUAUUAUUCUGGUAAGCAGGUCUACCUACCACUUUCCAAAAGAACAGAAAAAGAAGAAAAAAAACUUACUAGGUACCUCGUGUUAGUCCGCAAGGUGCUGCUUCAGAUCUACACAGCAAAUUCAUGGCCAGCAUAUCACACCGCAAGGUGCUGCUUUAGAUCUGCACAGCAAAUUCAUGGCCAGCGUAUCAAUGAAGAUAUCAGCUCUCAUAAAGAAAAAAAAAAAAUUCUUGCAAGGAAAGCUCAAGGAAUAUGUUUCGAAUUAAUACAAGCUUGCUGUUUCGGGGAUAAUACGUGGAAAAUAUUACAAGCCAAGCAGUUUACAAUAUUAUUACAACACAACCAUGUUAACUACUUCAACUGAUUCACAAGCGCACACUAAUAAAGUUCACAAUAUUAUUGCAACACAACCAUAUUAACUACUUUAACUGAUUCACAAGCACACUCUAAUAAUUAUUUCAUAUGUACACAAUGUGUACACAUAGAUCACCAAAAUGACUUCAAUUCUCUCAAACGAUUCUCAAUCCUUGCUCCAUCCAUGAAGACAAUUCAGCUUGCCUCUUCCUCAUCUCUAUCUUAUUUUGUUUGAUGAUCACCAGCUUGUCGUAGACACUCCAAGGAAAGCUAAGGAAAUGGGGCCUGUCCAAACCUUCAUUGUAGCGACCCCAAUAGUCCGGGUGAUAAGUAACAUAAUACCAGGCUGAUGCUUUCGCAUAUAAGUCAUCUUCGCGCUGGUCGUUAUCACCACUCAUAUCUUUAAACCAUGACCUCGCUUCUUUUCUUAAUGAUUUUACCGCCAACGUAAUUGCUUCUUCAUCUUUAUACUUGGUAAAGGUCUUUCCCAUCUUCAAAAUGCUGCCACUGAGUAUCUCGGCCUCUGUUUUAAUCCCAUAAUGGUCCAUUAAGUUCCCCAGCUUGAAAUCAUAAUCAUCCUUGAAAGAAGAAGCUUCAUCGAGGUAAUCACUAAAGCCGUCGACUUCCAUAUCAGGGUCGUAAGACCGCCUUGCCGCCUCCUUUGUGAAUUUCUUUAUACUGUCUGACUGGGGUGUACUCUCUUUGAUCGCCCUGUAGAGUCUUCCUAUAACACCCGUUGAUUUGUAGGUAACUUUGUCGAGUUUCUCCAUGAAAUCAGGAUACUCCUUCACGUGGAGGUGAUGCGGGAUUUCGGCUGGCACUCCUGUUUUAGGGAAGUCGACGGCAAUAGAAAAGAGCUUUGCGAGCUCUACACAGGCCUCACUUAAAGCUUUAAGUGGCUCCUUAUCAGCAAAGACUGUGUGGGCAUUCGCAAUGAUUCCUAAACUGUCGUUGACAAUAUAGUUUGUGAAGUACUCCAUCACUUCCUGCGUACCGCAACCACAUAUGAUAGACAGUUAAUAUCUCCCACAAAGGAUCAACGGUAUAUAUAUUUGUACACUACAUAGAGAUAUUGAGUUUUCCGCAGUAUAUACUCCUGAAAGCACAUGAAAUUGCACAAAUACCCUUGCAAAGUAGGUAUUUGUAUACAUAUACUGAAAAGCUCGCUUAUUUUGAUGUGUGUCCCACUAGGGGUAUCUAUGCAAAAAACAUUUUGCAUAUAAACUCCUGGAGGAGGAUAAAUGCAAAUAAAUAAAGUUUUAACGGGCACACUCAAAAAUACCAACUUUAUAUGAGUAUUGCAUAUCUUCGCCUAUUUGCAGGGGUUACAUGCAAACAAGACCCAAAACUGUUGUGGCUACUUUGACAAGACCUUUAUACAUCUAAACUCUCUUGCAAAUUUCCAUUUGAAAGAGUUUCUGCAGAUACAUUGGCAUAUAAACCAAAUUGUUUUAUAAAGAGUAAAUGUAUAUGCAGUCAUUGAGUAAUUUGAAAGGAUGAAUCACACUUUUAAUUUGUUACAGUAUUACCUCAAUAGAAACAUCGUGAUCUAGGGUCUCUGUUGGUGCCGGAGUAUAAUCCAUAGGAUAAACCAUACGAGGAGGAAUAAGUGUUGGGUCCCAACAGACAAAGUAUAUGUCUCCAUCUAAGUCACUUCCCGAACACUCGUUAGGAUGGGGUCUGAAUAAUGACAAACAAAUUAGAAAUUAAAUGGUAGAACAUAUACACUACGUAUGCGCAAAUGCCAAAAGAACAGGAAGCCAAUGAUAUGCCGAUGAAAGAAGUUUGUAAACAAAAAAGCAUUACUCAACAACAUGCUAAAGAAAGCAUUCUUACACUAAGUGCCCGGAAUGCCUUACAACUAAUAACUACAAAAGAAUGCAUGUUUUCGCAGUCAAAAGCCUAACUUAGUGCUGCAAAUACAAGACAGUCAUUUGUAGUUCAAGAAGACAAAAUAAGUUGUAGUACACGGUUCUCUCAAAAAAAGUUGUAGUACACGGAAAGACACAAUUAAAAACAUUAAGAAGAUACAUUUGAAAGGAUUAUGAUCUAGUCAGUAAAAUUGAUUAAGAUUCAAAGAAAACAAACAAUAAUAGGAAAAGAAAAGAAAAAAAGCACCUCACCUCUUUCCUUUCUGCGGAAAGACAACACAAUCGACCAUAUGGUGCAGAUCAGGAACAUCAACAGCCGUUAAAACACGAACAUCACCAGGGUGGAGGCAAGGGUUCUUAGCAACCACUACUCUUCCCUUCACCACAACCGUGUGAUCGUCCAAUUCGCCCUCAGCAAACAUAUACAAGCCACUAUUUUGAAACUGCGAGAUCCCAGUGCAUGAGAUCUGAACAAAGACCUGCCCGUAUUCUAAUUUGCAGGUUUCAUCCAAGCAACCCAUCAUCGCCCUCCCUUUUGGAACAAAUAUCCUCGACUUAGUUCUCAGUUCCAACAGCCUCGUUGCCCUAAAUGCCUGCAACAGCAUCGAAAGGAAAGGCUCGCGAUCGGGUUUAUACCCGCAUUGCAACAGUUCUUUGAGAACAUUGGUUGUUUCACCAGGAGACAUAAGCUCAACCGCUCCAUAAGCCAUUUCAGGAUCAGUCAAAAUUUUGUCCAGCUGAUUCACUGCUGCUUCUUGCUUCGUUUCAAAUAUACUAUCCCUGAUUCCCAAGGUAGAAAGAAGAGUAAUUAACUGUCGAUUUAGGAAGCACGGCUGGUAUUUGGUGUACGCGAGGACAUCCAGUUUCAUAUUUGUGGACUCAUACUUAGACAUACUUUUUCGCAGAGAAAGCUUCUUAGAAGAAGUUGGAUCGACG
rnacentral:lncRNA from 1 species